rnacentral:lncRNA from 1 species
GAAAUCAUUACUCACACAAAUACCGAUUUAAUUUCAACUUUCAGCACAGUUCAUCCAACAACAUUUCAACAUUUACAAAUCCCAAUUAGGGUCAAAUUAACGGCUUAUCACUACCCAUGACAUAUUAUCCCAAAAUACCCAUUAAUCGACGAUAAACCCCCCUUACCUUAACAAUCCGGCAAAAUCUUUGAGCUUCAAGCUUCUCCGUUCUUCAACCUUUGCUCUUCGGCUCCUUUCUCCUCUUCUCUGCCC